CGCGCUUCUCGGCCUUUUGUCUAAGAUCAUGUGUAGUAUCUGUUCUUAUCAGUUUAAUAUCUGAUACGUAUUUUUAGUGGGACAGUGGUGGCCUAGAGGUUAA
ensembl:snRNA U2 U2 spliceosomal RNA